rnacentral:rRNA from 1 species
AACGAACGCUGGCGGCGCGUCUUAACCAUGCAAGUCGAGCGGCAGGCAGCAAUGCCGAGAGCGGCGGACUGGUGAGUAACACGUGGAUAACGUACCCCGAUGUCCGGGACAGCCUGUAGAAAUAGAGGGUAAUACCGGAUAGAUCACUGUUUACGUGAGGUAGACAGCGGGAAAGGAGCUUCGGCUCCGCGACGGGAUCGGUCUGCGGCCCAUCAGCUGGACGGCGGGGUAAAGGCCCGCCGUGGCGAGGACGGGUAUCCGGCCUGAGAGGGCGGACGGACACAUUGGGACUGAGAUACGGCCCAGACUCCUACGGGAGGCAGCAGGUAAGAAUAUGCCGCAAUGGGGGGAACCCUGACGGAGCGACGCCGCGUGAACGAAGAAGGCCGGAAGAUUGUAAAGUUCUUUUCUGUCCGAGGAAUAAGUUUCGGAGGAAAUGCCGGGACGGUGACGGUAGGGCAGGAAUAAGCACCGGCUAAUUACGUG